AAACUCAUCCCUCCAAACUUCUUCACAAUGACAACCCACGUCUUAAUUCUCAUCCUGCUGGCUGCCUUCUCCAAAGGUGGUUUCUCCCAGGUUGCCCUGACCCAGUCAGACCCAGUGGUGAAGAAACCAGGAGAAUCCCAUAAACUGACUUGCGCUGCCACUGGAUUCGACGUUAAUAGCUACAACAUGUUUUGGAUCAGACAGAAACCUGGCCAAGGACUGGAAUGGAUUGUUUACUACUACUCGUCUAGUAGCAACUCUUAUUCACCAACAAUCCAAGGACGUUUUACUGCCUCCAAGGACAGUUCCAACCUCUAUCUCCAAAUGAACAACCUAAAAGCUGAAGACACGGCUGUCUAUUACUGUGCAAGAGACACAACUGCCAUGCAGAGGUUCAGUUGGUGCAGACUGGAGGACGUGUUGUGGUCCCUGGAAGUUCCAUCCGCCUAA